GUUUUAAAAUAUAAUAGGUUUUAUUUAAAAAAAUAUAUUUUUUUUUAUGUUUUAAAUGAUAUGAAAAAAAAGAGAAAACCUCGUCUUUGUAUAUGACAGGAUGCGUCAUACAAUACAGCUUGUGAUCCUACCCUGCUUCACUCCCCGCACAGAACUGUUGGUUUUCAAACACUGUCUGAUUCAAAGUGCCUGUAUCUGGCCCAAGAAUCCUGUCAUACACUAAGGGUAGGAAUGAGUUAAAAAAAAGUUUCUUUUUUUUUUACUUUAUGAAAUGGUUAUGGUGUUAAAAGAAUACGUUUUGUGGUGACAGUUUCCAUUUAACCAUUUUUUUUGAUCAAAAAGAAAUAGACAAACAGCCAAAUAACAGAAGUCAAACUGUUACGAAUAUAAAUGUGGAACAAAUCUGCAUUUUUAUUUUGUCCAGAAAGUCAGCAGACUAGAAAACUGGCCUCUGUUUUUUUUAGGAAAAUACAAGGUUUUAGUGGUGGGUGCCAAGGCUAAUGUGAGGAUAUCUGUCAAGGAACAUCCAACCGUAAAAACGUAGACUUUCUUCCUCAAGUGGCGUGAAAUACAGAUUAAUUUACAUCAACUUCAGCUAAAGACAAAAGGGGGUGUUCACCAAAGGAAGAACUGUCAGGAAUUUAAAGUUCAUUUCAAGCUUAAAGCCAAACUGUAAAUGUGGUUUGCUACUUUGGCCUUUAACGUAAUAUGUCCUGUGGAUUCCCAGUAAUUCUCAAACAGUGACUAACCAUAAUACGUUAAUUGAGCUGAGACAAGCACGGCCACCAGUAGGUACAUUAUGCAAUCAGAAAUAUAUCAUUAUGAGUAAGCAGGAUGUAUUAAAGGGACACUAUAGUCACCAGAACAACUACAGCUUAUUGAAUUUGUUCUGGUGAGUAGAAUCAUUACUUUCAGGCUUUUUGCAGUAAAUACUGUCUUUUCAGAGAAAAUGCAGUGUUUACAUUACAGCCUAGUGAGAACUUCACCGGCCACUCCACAGAUGGCUGUUAGAGAUCCUUCCUGGGUCAUGGCUGCCUAAAAUGCAUCCAAACAUUCAGUAUCUCCUCCCUCUGCAUGCAGACACUGAACUUUCCUCAUAGAGAUUCAUUGAUUCAAUUCAUCUCUAUGAGGAGAUGCUGAUUGGCCAGGGCUGUGUUUGAAUCAUGCUGGCUCUGCCCCUGAUCUGCCUCCUUGUCAGCCUCAGCCAGUCCUAUGGGGAAGCAUUGUGAUUGGAUCAGACCACCACUUCUGAUGAUGGCAGUAGACUGCUGGUUUUUCUGAGUCUAACAGCAUGCAGAGUUACAGCUUUUGGCUUCAAUACAGUAAGAUUUUUGCUAUAUUUAUGGAGGCAGGGGGCGCUAGAUGGUGGUUUUAACACUAUAGGGUCAGGAAUACAUGUUUCUGUUCCUGACCCUAUAGUGAUCCUUUAAAUUCAGAGAGAAAGCAUUGAACAUGUCAGCAGCCAGUUUAUUACUACUUCAGAGAUUCACUCCUGUAUGUAAAAUGGAGGCCUUAAAGGAAUUUCAUAGGGCCAGGAAUACAAACGUGUAUUCCUGACCCUAGUUUCUUAAAACCACUGAUUAGGUGGCCAGUACCACCCCCCUCCCCCUCCUUGCUCCUUGUUGAAUAGGAUAACAACUCUCCUUUAUUCCAGCGUUGCUUGGACCUUAAAAUGUUCACUUUAAUAUGCCCCCAGUAUGAGUGUGAUACCCAAGGAGACAGCAGUAUUUUGGGGAAGCCAAGAAGGAAAACUUAUACCAUACUUUCCGCCAUUUUCUUUUCCUGACUUUUAUCAUGGGAGCACACCACAUUCUGGUAGCUCCACCUCCAGCCUGAUAAGGACAGGAAAUAAUUAAACAAUUGCUCAGACUGUCCUCCCUUCAUACCUCAGUUUAAUUAAAAAGCUCAGAAAUUCAAGGGAGGAUCGAAAUAAUAUACUAACCCAAAAACUAUGUAAUGCCAGAACACACUUUAUUAUACAGAAGACACAGAGGAUAAGACACUGCUCCCAAAAGAGGUGGAAGAAGAGGCUACAUCCAACUUGUAGUCCUUAAUGAAGGUCACUGGAUAUGGCUAAGUCGCUGCCCUACAAAUUUCAAAAUAAAACCUAUGCCAAUUAGCCAAUGAUGUCACCAAAGCUCUGGUCGAAUUAUUUUUUAGCUAGGCCUUCAUAUCUACAUUAGAAAUCCAGCGCCUCAGAGUGGAUGUAGAAGCUGCUUCUCCUUUUCUACAUCUGAAUGGAAGAAUGAAUAAUUGUCUAGCUUACCAGAAGCAUCUGGAAUGCUGCCAAAUAUUUAAUGAUGCAUUCUCUCACUUCCAGUUGGGAUAGUUUGGCUUCUGCUUCACAUGUAGCAUUGGGAUAAAAUGAGGGCAAAACCACUUCCGUAGUCAGAUGGAAACUUGAGGCGACUUUCGGUAAGAACUCUUUUGUCUCAAAACCACUCUGUAGUGGUAUACCAUAGUAUGGGUUUCCUCACAAGAAAAGGCCUGGAUCUUGGACGUUGUUUUGGCAGACAUAAAGGCAACAAGAAAUAAGGUUUCAUACAUUUUCAUUAUUGGGUUUAGCUCAUCUAACGGAGCAAAAGGUUUUUCUUAUAAGGCACUUGUGACUUGCGGAAAAUCCCAUGGUGGAGAAUAACUUCAAUUAAUUGCCUUAAAAAAAUUGCAUUAUUGGGCAGUGCAUCCGAAUAGACGCCAUUUCCACAGCUCCGAGCGCUAAAAACUUAAUCCACCUAAUAUCCCCUGCAUCUUGGCAAUACCAACUGAAAGGAGGGCAGAUAUCGCAGCAACAAGCCGCACUGAAUCCUCCGAUGCCUUUUUUAUAUACCCCGGGCAAAAAAAUACCAGAACCGAGGCUCCAAGGCCUAUCCUACUACCAGACAUCCCCCAGCAGCCUACAGAGGCCUACUGGACUGGGACGAGACAGGCUUCUUCCCUCUGCUGACAGGCGACAUGGGCAAGAGAACCCAAAAAACCCCUGCGACUAUUAGCAGGACGCAGCACAACAGAGGCCUGAUGCUGCAACAAACGGGGCCCACGAUGACACCGGCGGCACGAGAGCCCUCACUCACCCGAGAGCCCUCACUCUCAAAGGCUGACUGCGGGACCCCACUCCAGAGCCCGAUACCAGUAAACAAAGGUACACUACAUCCACAGGAGACAGAAGCUCCGGCAACAAAAAGGGAAAUUCAAAAUAUGCUCACCGACCUCCAAAACAACCUCAGGACAAUGUGGGAGGCAGAUCUGGCGGUUCUUAAAACGGAGGUACAGGCCCUCAAAAUGCGCACACAGACUGCAGAAAGAAAUGUAAUAGACCUACAAAAAAGCUUUAAAGCACUCAGUGACCAGGUACAGCAUUUGCAGAAUACACAAGCUGAAACCAACAAACCAGUGCACAUACUAGACGACCGGGGCAGGAGAAAGAACAUAAAGGUAAGGGGAGUAGCAGAGUCAAUACCCCUAGAAGUAUUGCCACACUUCAUAAGAAGGCUGGUGGCAUCACUACUGCCAGCAAGAGAAGCCAAGUACUUCUCCUUUACAGAAUGGCCAAAUCCCCUAGGGCCCCUGAAACUGCACCACAAGACAUAAUCCUGAGGUGUCAAGUGAUGUCCAACAAGUUAAGCCUGCUAGCGGUGCUAAAAGGGAAGACGCCAUAUAACUUUGAGAACUGUAAAAUUUCCUUCUUCCAAGAUCUUAGUAGAGCCACACUACAGUGGCGAAAAGCCAUGCAACCCCUCACGCAGACCCUACAAAAAGGACUGACCUACAGUUGGGCGACACUGCACAUACUGUGGGUCACCAAAAACGGAAAGUUCUAUAAGGCCACAGACCCUGCAGACGCUCCUGCACUCCUGGCGGCACUGAACUUGCAACCUAACCCUACUCACGAACCGCCCGAUACGCAACCCCGAAUGGACACUGACUCGGACACGUCUUCACCCGACCCCGGAAAGACCUGAACCAAAUAACAUGCCUGGCCAUCUCAUGUUGCAGUGGCACAUACGUGACUUUCUUAGUUACAAAGUUUUGCAAUUGUAACACUACAUCUUAACACUACAAGUUUCGCUUAAUUCGCCUACUCUUACACACGCUAAUGCAUAGUCACUCUCCUUUGCUGAAACACCCAUAGGACACACACAGCGCUCACACUAUGCUCAGGAACUCUUCCCCCUCGCCCCCAUAGUUCUGACACGCCAGGGAGAAAAAGACAAGAGGAAAAGGGAUCAUACACACAGAUGAGGGCCACACGAUAGGACUUACACCAUUAGUACUACCUCAUAGAGAUAGCCCACUCACUGGAGAUGGAACCAAGAUAUCACCUGGAACCACAGCUCUGCCACCUAGUGGGGCCGACACAACAGAGACACCAACACCUCUCCCUUCUACAUACACCCGAGCGACCUAGACACCGCAAAACUCACUGGCACGCAAACUCUGCGGCACCACUCAUAGAGGGAGUUUAUUAACUCAUAUAUUGAUCAACUCACUACAACCCGACAGUCCAUCACACUUCUAAAAAUGUGCAGCAUGCUCACCAGACAUAAACCACAAACAUAUGAUGUUACAUACAAUGUUUACUCAUGUAUCAGACCAAAACGUAAAGAAUGUAUGUACGUUGCAUGCAAAUCUGCACCAAAAAUAAAGAAUUUU